rnacentral:rRNA from 1 species
UACAGAGGUCUCAAGCGUUUGUUCGGAUUCAUUGGGCGUAAAGGGUGCGUAGGUGGCGCGAUAAGUCGGGUGUGAAAUCUCGGAGCUUAACUCCGAAAUUGCAUUCGAUACUGCGGGUCUCGAGUCCGGGAGAGGUGAGUGGAAUUCCUAGUGUAGAGGUGAAAUUCGUAGAUAUUAGGAAGAACACCAGUGGCGAAGGCGGCUCACUGGCCCGGUACUGACGCUGAGGCGCGAAAGCGGUGGGGAGCAAACAGG